GACGAACGCUGGCGGCGUGCCUAAUACAUGCAAGUGGAACGCUGAAGAGAGGAGCUUGCUCUUCUUGGAUGAGUUGCGAACGGGUGAGUAACGCGUAGGUAACCUGCCUUGUAGCGGGGGAUAACUAUUGGAAACGAUAGCUAAUACCGCAUAACAAUGGAUGACACAUGUCAUUUAUUUGAAAGGGGCAAUUGCUCCACUACAAGAUGGACCUGCGUUGUAUUAGCUAGUAGGUGAGGUAACGGCUCACCUAGGCGACGAUACAUAGCCGACCUGAGAGGGUGAUCGGCCACACUGGGACUGAGACACGGCCCAGACUCCUACGGGAGGCAGCAGUAGGGAAUCUUCGGCAAUGGGGGCAACCCUGACCGAGCAACGCCGCGUGAGUGAAGAAGGGUUUCGGAUCGUAAAGCUCUGUUGUAAGUCAAGAACGAGUGUGAGAGUGGAAAGUUCACACUGUGACGGUAGCUUACCAGAAAGGGACGGCUAACUACGUG
rnacentral:rRNA from 1 species